UGGGGAAUCUUGCACAAUGGAGGAAACUCUGAUGCAGCGAUGCCGCGUGAGUGAAGAAGGCCCUUGGGUUGUAAAGCUCUUUCGUCGGGGAAGAAAAUGACUGUACCCGAAUAAGAAGGUCCGGCUAACUUCGUGCCAGCAGCCGCGGUAAUACGAAGGGACCUAGCGUAGUUCGGAAUUACUGGGCUUAAAGAGUUCGUAGGUGGUUGAAAAAGUUAGUGGUGAAAUCCCAGAGCUUAACUCUGGAACUGCCAUUAAAACUUUUCAGCUAGAGUAUGAUAGAGGAAAGCAGAAUUUCUAGUGUAGAGGUGAAAUUCGUAGAUAUUAGAAAGAAUACCAAUUGCGAAGGCAGCUUUCUGGAUCAUUACUGACACUGAGGAACGAAAGCAUGGGUAGCGAAGAGGAUUAGAUACCCCCGGGUAGUC
rnacentral:rRNA from 1 species